AUCACUGCAUCUGCUUGCUAGUACAUCAGUCUAUUGUUGUGUCAAUCCUGGUAUGUGCUGGAAUUGUCAGCAGCUCAGCACCCAUACUGGUGUUUCCUGAAAGGGAAAUUCCAUCACUCAGCUGAGCAGUCAACACUCCCACUGCUGAGCUGAGGCCAUGUUUAGUUACUCCCAACUCCCAACUUUAACACUAUGCAAAAAGAAGAUUCCCCAUCACAUCAAACUUGCGGUACAUGCAUGGAGUACUAAAUGUAGAUGAAAUUAAAAACUAAUUGCACAGUUUUGUUGUACUUUGCGAGACGAAUCUUUUGAGCCUAAUUAGUCAAUAUUUGGACAAUAAUUCACAAAUACAAACGAAACGCUACAGUGUGCUACAGUGCUGUAACAGUAAUUUGGCACCUCCCAAAUUCCCCAACUAAACAAGGCCUGAGUGUUCCCAGUCACACUUGCUAGUUGCUACUGCCUAGUAGAGUACUUUACCAGGCCAUGGAGUGUGGAUGUUGCCG
rnacentral:lncRNA from 1 species